GGGAAGGCGGGCGCGCGCCGCGGCGGUGGACGGCGCUCGGUCGGACUCCCCGCCCCGCGGCCAUGAACCUGGAGCGGCUGCGGAAGCGAGUCCGGCAGUACCUGGACCAGCAACAGUAUCAAAGUGCUCUAUUUUGGGCAGAUAAAGUAGCUUCACUCUCUCAUGAGGAACCCCAGGACAUUUAUUGGUUGGCUCAAUGUCUUUACCUAACAGCGCAAUAUCAUAGAGCGGCUCAUGCACUUCGGUCACGAAAACUGGAUAAACUAUAUGAAGCUUGUCGCUACCUUGCAGCUAGAUGCCAUUAUGCUGCGAGAGAACAUCAACAGGCUCUUGACAUUCUCGACAUGGAGGAGCCGAUCAACAAAAGGUUAUUUGAAAAAUACUUGAAGGACGAAAGUGGCUUGAAAGACCCCUCCAGUGACUGGGAAAUGUCACAGUCUUCGAUAAAGAGCUCUAUUUGUCUCCUACGAGGGAAGAUCUAUGAUGCCCUGGACAACCGAGCCCUGGCUACCUGUAGUUACAAAGAAGCUUUGAAGCUCGAUGCCUACUGUUUUGAAGCAUUUGAUCUUUUAACAUCCCAUCACAUGUUGACAGCCCAAGAAGAAAAAGAACUUCUUGAGUCACUACCUCUUAGCAAGCUCUGUACUGAAGAACAGGAAUUGCUACGCUUUCUCUUUGAGAACAAAUUAAAAAAGUAUAAUAAACCUAGUGAAACUGUCCUCCCCGAGUCUGUAGAUGGUUUGCAAGAGAAUCUGGAUGUGGUAGUGUCUUUAGCUGAAAGACAUUAUUAUAACUGUGAUUUUAAAAUGUGCUACAAGCUUACUUCUGUAGUAAUGGAGAAAGAUCCUUUCCAUGCAAACUGUUUGCCUGUACAUAUAGGAACACUUGUGGAGCUGAAUAAAGCAAAUGAACUUUUCUAUCUUUCUCAUAAGUUGGUGGAUCUAUAUCCUAGUAAUCCUGUGUCUUGGUUUGCGGUGGGAUGCUAUUAUCUUAUGGUUGGUCAUAAAAAUGAACAUGCCAGAAGAUAUCUCAGCAAAGCAACAACACUUGAGAAGACUUACGGGCCUGCGUGGGUAGCCUACGGGCACUCGUUUGCGGUGGAGAGUGAGCACGACCAGGCCAUGGCUGCCUACUUCACGGCCGCACAGCUGAUGAAAGGGUGUCAUUUGCCAAUGCUGUACAUCGGAUUAGAAUAUGGAUUGACCAAUAACUCAAAAUUGGCUGAAAGAUUCUUUGGCCAAGCGCUCAGCAUUGCACCAGAAGACCCAUUUGUUAUGCAUGAGGUUGGCGUGGUUGCAUUUCAGAAUGGAGAAUGGAAAACAGCAGAAAAAUGGUUUCUUGAUGCUUUGGAAAAAAUUAAAGCAAUUGGAAAUGAGGUUACGGUUGACAAAUGGGAACCUUUGCUGAACAACUUGGGGCACGUCUGCAGGAAGCUUAAAAAGUAUGCCGAGGCCUUGGAUUACCACCGUCAGGCACUGGUGUUAAUUCCCCAGAAUGCGUCCACCUAUUCUGCCAUAGGGUAUAUCCACAGUCUGAUGGGCAACUUUGAAAAUGCUGUUGACUAUUUCCACACGGCCCUUGGUCUUAGGCGAGAUGAUACAUUUUCUGUCACGAUGCUUGGUCAUUGCAUUGAGAUGUACAUUGGUGAUUCUGAAGCCUACAUUGGAGCAGACAUUAAAGACAAGUUAAAAUGUUAUGACUUUGAUGUGCAUACAAUGAAGACACUAAAAAACAUUAUUUCACCUCCGUGGGAUUUCAGGGAAUUUGAAGUAGAGAAACAGACUACAGAAGAAACAGGGCUUGCACCACUAGAAACCUCAAGGAAAACUCCAGAUCCCAGACCUUCAUUGGAAGAAACCUUCGAAAUUGAAAUGAAUGAAAGUGACAUGAUGCUGGAGACCUCUAUGUCAGACCACAGCACAUGACGCAGACAGUUCUCAGCUCCUGUCCUGCGGGAAGUCAGGGUUUCUCACAUCCUUGUACCGUCUUCAGAAUUCCCCAUUUCUUGGCACAAAUACAGACUCCCUGCUCCAUUUAGGAAUGGAGACCUGCAGGAAGAGACCACAGCAGACACCUUUGCAGCACAUGUUUUCUGAUCCUACAAAACAGUUCUGUGUAGAGAAAUAAAGAGGUGACCAAGGAACCUUGUCAUAAAGAAGUGCACGCCGGUACACUACAAGUAACGUAACUGCAGGCUUUACUGGGAUUUCACCGUUUUUCCAUCAGUGUCCUCAUGCUGCCCAGAACCCUGUUGAGGAGCCACACUGCCCUUGGGCUCUUCUCCGCUGUGACCAUGUCUCAGGCUUCUCUGGUCUUUCAUGACCUACAUGGGUUUGAGGAGGACUGGGUGGCUGUUUUGUAGAUUGUCCCUCGAUUUGAGUUUGUUUGAUGUUUUUCUCAUAUUGGACUAGAGUUCUUGGUUUUGGGAAGAAAAUACCACCGAUGUGGAUGACGUACUCUUCUCAUCAGGGGUGCACAGUAUCAACACGACUGACAGCAGAUGGUGUUAAUCUCGAUGGUGUCUACCAGGUUUUUCCACUGUGAGGUUACUGUUUUUCCCUGUCUGUAAUGCAUGCUUUAGAAGCAAGUCAUGAAGUUCAGCCUGUCCUCAGUAGGACCAAGGGUUUUUUUUUUGGGAGUUAGUUUGUUUUUAGAACCAAGGGAUUUAAGCUCCACCUCCGGAAGGGUGAAUAUCUGCAUAUAUUAUUUGGAAUUCUUCUGUAAUGAAAAUUUGUUUCUCCUAUUUAUUCAGCCAUUAGUGUGGACUUUCACUUUAGGUUCUAAUCCUACACAGUAUUAUUUUAGGGCUUCAGUUUUUUCAACAUUGGCCAUUGGGAGCUCCUUCAGCUUGGCUCCUCUGUCCCUGUGAUACACCCCCAUCCAUUUGUUUUUUUG